UCCCGUGUAGCUCAGUUGGUAGAGCAUGGUGUUUGCAACGCCAGGGUUGUGGGUUCGAUUCCCACAGGGGAC
rfam:Salmo salar isolate Sally breed double haploid chromosome ssa15, whole genome shotgun sequence.